AGUGAACGCUGGCGGUAGGCCUAACACAUGCAAGUCGAACGGCAGCACAGUAAGAGCUUGCUCUUACGGGUGGCGAGUGGCGGACGGGUGAGGAAUACAUCGGAAUCUACUUUUUCGUGGGGGAUAACGUAGGGAAACUUACGCUAAUACCGCAUACGACCUACGGGUGAAAGCAGGGGAUCUUCGGACCUUGCGCGAUUGAAUGAGCCGAUGUCGGAUUAGCUAGUUGGCGGGGUAAAGGCCCACCAAGGCGACGAUCCGUAGCUGGUCUGAGAGGAUGAUCCGCCAAACUGGAACUGGAAAACGGGUCAGACCCCUACGGGAGGCAGCAGGUGGGAAUAUUGGACAAAGGGCGCAAGCCUGAUCCAGCCAUACCGGGUGGGUGAAGAAGGCCUUCGGGUUGUAAAGCCCUUUUGUUGGGAAAGAAAAGCAGCAGGUUAAUACCCCGCUGUUCUGACGGUACCCAAAGAAUAAGCACCGGCUAACUUCGU
rnacentral:rRNA from 1 species